UUGGAUUUACACCCUGUCUCUCUCCCUGUGAAGGAACAACCCCCCCCCAAAAAAAGAAAGUGUUGCCGGAAAUGUAGUAGGCAAAAAGUUUUCAAAUAUGACUCCAUAACAGGACGAAGGAUAAAUGAGGGGCAAGAGGAAGUAAGGGUGAAAUGGUUACCUUGCUCUGCAUGGUAAGUACUGCUUUAUAUUGGUUUAUAUUGCCUUCAUACAUGUACUCUUUUUCCACUUUUUACCAUCUCAUAGGUAGUGGAUAAAGGUUGAAAUUUAUAUUGUAGCACACACAACUUUAAAUGUACAGGUGGGUCUCAAAGUUUUGCAACCAAAAAGCAGCGUUGAGAGAAUUGUCAUGUCCACUAGGUUUUAGGUCCAGCGUCAAUGCAGCCUUCUACCUGGAGAUUUUAGAGCAUGGUUCCAUCUGCUGACGAGCUUUACGCACAUGCUGAUAUCCUUUUCCAGCAGGACUCUGCCCCUGCCACAGUGCGAAAACUGCUAGUAACUGGGUUGCUUAGCAUGGUAUUGCUGUGCUUAACUCGUCUCACCUGAACCCCAUAGAGAGGACAAAGAUAGAAACCAAACCCAACAUUAGAGACAACUUCAAGGUCACUAUCAAAGCAACAUGGGCUUUUAUAACACCUCAGCAAUGCCAUACACUGAUGGCCUCCACACCACAC